rnacentral:rRNA from 1 species
AUUGAACGCUGGCGGCAGGCCUAACACAUGCAAGUCGAACGGUAGCACAGAGAGCUUGCUCUCGGGUGACGAGUGGCGGACGGGUGAGUAACGUCUGGGAAACUGCCCGAUGGAGGGGGAUAACUACUGGAAACGGUAGCUAAUACCGCAUAACGUCGCAAGACCAAAGUGGGGGACCUUCGGGCCUCACACCAUCGGAUGUGCCCAGAUGGGAUUAGCUAGUAGGUGGGGUAAUGGCUCACCUAGGCGACGAUCCCUAGCUGGUCUGAGAGGAUGACCAGCCACACUGGAACUGAGAAACGGUCCAGACUCCUACGGGAGGCAGCAGUGGGGAACAUUGCACAAUGGGCGCAAGCCUGAUGCGGCCAUGCCGCGUGUAUGAAGAAGGCCUUCGGGUUGUAAAGUACUUUCAGCGGGGAGGAAGGCGGUGAAGUUAAUAACUUCACCGAUUGACGUUACCCGCAGAAGAAGCACCGGCUAACUCCGUGCCAGCCGCCGCCGUAA